AGUGAACGCUGGCGGUAGGCCUAACACAUGCAAGUCGAACGGCAGCACAGUAAGAGCUUGCUCUUACGGGUGGCGAGUGGCGGACGGGUGAGGAAUACAUCGGAAUCUACUUUUUCGUGGGGGAUAACGUAGGGAAACUUACGCUAAUACCGCAUACGACCUACGGGUGAAAGCAGGGGAUCUUCGGACCUUGCGCGAUUGAAUGAGCCGAUGUCGGAUUAGCUAGUUGGCGGGGUAAAGGCCCACCAAGGCGACGAUCCGUAGCUGAUCUGAGAGGCUGGUCAGCCACCCUAGAACUGAGACACGCUCCAGACUCCUACGGGAGGCAGCAGUGGGGAAUAUUGGACAAUAGGCGCAAGCAUGAUCCAGCCAUACCGCGUGGGUGAAGAAGGCCUUCGGGUUGUAAAGCCCUUUUGUUGGGAAAGAAAAGCAGCAGGUUAAUACCCCGCUGUUCUGACGGUACCCAAAGAAUAAGCACCGGCUAACUUCGUG
rnacentral:rRNA from 1 species